CCAUAUUUGACGGUGGGACAAUGGCUAUGGUGAGAUUUUGUAGGAGAUGCGGCUGCUUCUUUUUAGGUGGUGUGCCGAUGUUUUAUUUUUUUGUGGGGGUGCUGCUGCUAGGGUCCUUCUUCCUUCCGUUCACUAUAUAAUAAGAGAAGAAAUAUUACAAAAUUAUUUUUUUUGUGUUUUUAAACUUAUAUUUUAAAAUAAAAAUCAAGAUCAUCCGUUGCUAAAAGCUCUGUCAAUUUUCGUCUUGGAACAUUGAAAUCCUUUGCUGCCGAUUUGUGUCGGAGUUGAGGCAUCGAAGAAGUCAGCGGUCUCCGGUCAGAGGUCAUUCCGCAGCUUUGGGUCGUCGUUCGAUUUUCUGGUCGUCGGCGUCGCAUCAACAUAUUUGCUUUUCUUUCGAUUGAAUCCAUUUGGACGUUCUUUCAUUAUACUAAAGGAGUUGGUUUGCGUGAGGGUCAAUUUCUCCCUUUAAUCUCGUUCUCCUUCUGUUAUUAUGCUAAUUGUGUGCCAUUUUGGUUGAAUUUCUUGUGAUUGAGUUAUAGUUAGUCUUUUCUUUAGUUGAAUGAAUUUCAUCGGGUGAAUACAUUUGGGAUAUAAAUUGAUGAAAUAAAAUAUGUGAUGAACAGUGAGUAAUUUGAGAAUUAAACUUGAAUUUAAGAUGAAGUAAUUUGGAAUUGGGAUUAACUUCACAUUCUUGUUUUAUCAAAUGGGACGUGGAAUGGGGAAAACAUCAACUCGUUGGUAACUAAUUCAUGCUCAUAUAUUGUAGGAGUCGGAUUUGGUCUAAAUAUAUGAAAUCAAGCACUAAAGAAAACGAGCAUGAAAUAAUCUUAUUUAGUUUUAGCUUUAUUUUAUUUCUAUUUUUCUUACACUACUCGCUAGUAACAUAUUUAGGUCGACCAUACUUGGGUAGGCAAACUUUUAAGGCGCUUAUGUUUUAGUUUUUUGAGGUGAGAGGUUUCCCCUUUAGUUAAUUAAUUUAUUCGGGGAAUGCUCCGAAAAACUUGUAAAUACUUUGGAGGUUGUGAUGAACACCAUGGAGGAAGUAUAGUGUAGGUUAGCUUAGGAUUUUAAUUUUCACUUUUAUUUUUCUUUUAUUAGGUGGGGACAACCUCGAACCUCGAGCCUCUUCUGUGUUUAUUUUUAUUUUUUGUGUGUUUCUACCUCAAUCUGAGUAUUUCUAAAAACCAACUAGAUCAUGUGCGCAACCGUGAUUUUUACGUGACUCGGGGAAUGCCUAACACCUUCUCCCCGAGUCAAAUGAACCACCUUAUCUAGAAUCUAUGGUGCAAUAAGUUUAGAGUCAAAUGUGUUUUGAAGGAAAAUUCUUAUUUUUGUUUACAAAAAAUAGUAACCUAGCACACAGAAACCAAAUGUCAGGUGGCGACUCUAAAAAUCCUUCGAAACGCAAUCUUUUUGUCACUUUCAAAUUGAAAUCCUUUUGAGCUUUAAAUUCUCUUUAUAUCUUUUUAAAGAGGGUUAGUGAGGUAAAAAGAAGGGGUGUGACAGUUUUGGCGACUCUACUGGGGAGUUGCAGGUUCGAGCUGGUACUUGAUCUUGUUGGCUUUUUAGAAUAUUCGGUUGAGGUUUUUAUGAUUUUAUUUUCUUUAUUUAAUUUUUAUUUUUGUUUAUGUCGUUUUAUUAUUUGUUAGUUAUUUACGUGUUUACAGUUUUUUCUUUAUGUGUUACUGCUUUAUAACUGUCAUCAUUUGCAUUACCCGAUUAAUUCUUUCUACAACAAGUCUCGUAAUACGCGUCGCAUACACGAACUUUUUGUUGAGUCACCCUUAUUUUAGGAGGGGUGCCAUCGGACGUAUGGAGUGGGUGGGAAGCUUGAGCAGCCACCGUCGAUCAUAUGCUCCCCCGGAUUGCCUUGUUAGUGAACCCCAAACGUAGGUCAACCUUUAGGUCAUUUUUAUUUGCAUCAUAUCAUUAUGACCUAGCAAGGCCCGGUGCUAGGUACUAUGUCCUUUGUAGGAAGCCUGUUCAAAUUGUGUCAAUAGGCCCGCCGACCCAAAAUGAUAUUCAAUCAUUCUACGUGCUAAAUGUUGCAUCUUUGAGGGUAGAAAGGUCAUUUGGCGGGCUGAUAUUUGGGAAAGAAGGGUGAAAAAUGAAGCAAGAGAGAAUAUUGAGAGUUUUGUCACUUUUAGUUUCUUGCCCCGUUCUCUAAAAGAAAAAUAACAAAAAGAUGUUAUACUUUCUCAUCAUUUUUCAAAAAAAGAAAAAGACAAAAAAUAGUUUUUCCAAGUUAGUUGCAUUUUUAAAUUCUCUCUCGUAUCCAAUCUUCCCGAACUACGUAUACCUGAUUCUCGUCUUUCAGGGCGGGAUACGUAGGCAGCCCAUAUAGGGUCCGGUCUUACUAGUGAGUUUUAAGUUCUUGGCUUCGGGGGUCCUAGCUAAAUCUUGCAUGCCUAGCCACUUUUGGCCACAGCGGCCUUUUUGCAAAAUAGGGCUAUUUUCUCAAAGUGGCUUGUUAACCCAUGUCUCAGAGUCAUGAGUCCACAACAAGGCGUCUACUUAGUUUAAGGUCCAUUUUUGUUGAGUUUGCAUGCUUAGCUAUUUUUGACCACAUAGGCCAUUUAUGCAAAACAGGUCAUUUUUAUAAAGUUAUUUUAGAGACCGUGAUUCCUGGGAGAUCGGGGGUCGCAUAGGCAUUCGUGAGGUAUUUUCCAUGUCUUACAGGUCGUCCUAGCUGAGUUUGCACUUCUAACCAACUUUUGGCCAUGUAGACCAUUUUACAAAAAUAACCUCAAUUAUGUCUUGCAUAUGUCCAAUAUGAAGUAUUAUUGUCUCACAUAGUGUCCUGAGUCACUAACUCUAUUUGCUCUUAUUUUUCUCAUUCAGGUAUGGAUCCACUUACUAGAGCUUGAGCAUGACAGAUACCCCAGGACCAUCCCAGCCAUGACCAUCCCAGCCAUGACCGUUGCCUUCAGGAGCUGUUUGAGGGGACUUUUUAUUUUUUGAGUAUGUUUUAUGUUAUCUUUUACUUUUUAGUCCUGUACAGUAGUAUUGAGUCUUUUAGGUGGUGUCAGAGUCUGUCAUAGUCUAGUUGAGUUCAUUGAGUCUUUUGUUAUCGUACCUCCUAUUUUAUAUAUGAAAACAAAAAAAAAGAGUUAUAAAUGAAAAAUCCAAAAGGAUUUUUAUUUUUAGUAUAUUUUGUCCAUUACUUUUGCAGAACUACGCUUGGUCUGAUUCAUGUGGAAUAUGAUACGUGUGCAACUUACAUCAGGUUCGAUCGAAUCAUUUUAG
rnacentral:lncRNA from 1 species